GAGAGUCGCGGGCAGGCAGCAGGCAUCCCUGCUUGGGUCUUUUAGGAUGAGCAGGAUGAUAUUGUCUCACAUUUGCUGAGUCUAGAAGGCAGGUCUCUCCAGUGGUUUUUGGAGCAAAUGUUUUGAUGGGCCAGCGUGGACACUGCCCAAACAUACAAGCAACUUGCCUAGUCUCCAGCUGGAAGCAAAUGCUACUCAUGAUGUGCUGUGGCACUAUGGUGGGCACAGGAAACUAAGGAUAACUAACAUUCAGGCCUUCACUUCAAGGAGCCAAUAUUUGCAAGAGUGAAGAGAAAUGGCCUUGAACCGUGUAGUCAUGUAACAAUUCCUGCUCCGGGACUCGGAAGAGGUGAACUUGGGUACAAUAUACCCUCAUGCCUUCUGGGUCCAGAGACCAGAUCUGAAGCAGAAACCCACUGGGUACACACUGGAAGCUGGCUGUGUGUAAAAGCUCCCAGAGAGACUCCAGUGAGGGAUCAUGCAGUUGCUGAAACAUUAUUGUUAUAAAUGAUACAGCAUGGAGCUAAAUAAAUGAGCUUUUGAAACACUGGAGCGAGCAGUAUUCCACACAUGUGUAUAUCCACACUUGCUUAUCCACUCAUCUGUGGGUGGAUAUUUAAGUUGCUUCCUCCUCUGGGCUAUUGUGAACAUGAACACUGUGAACAUCUGUGUGGGGUGAUGGCCUCAGCACCUGUUUUUAAUUCUUCAGGGGAAUGGCACCACCCACUGUUCUGGGUCUUCCUGAAUCAAUCGACAAUCAAAACAACCCC
rnacentral:lncRNA from 1 species